GCUUCCAGAUCCAGUUGAAAAAGAGAAAGGGGUUAGUCUUUGGGCUAUGAUCAAAGACAAUGUCGGGAAAGAUCUAACAAGAGUUUGCCUGCCGGUGUAUUUCAAUGAGCCAAUUUCCUCCCUACAAAAGUGCUUUGAAGAUUUAGAGUACUCAUAUCUUUUAGAUAGAGCAUAUGAACAUGGAAAAUCGGGGAAUAGUCU
rnacentral:misc_RNA from 1 species